rnacentral:tRNA from 1 species
UAGUGGGUUCAUACCCCAAAAAUGAAUUUUCCUUUAUU